rnacentral:misc_RNA from 1 species
CUUUGCAAACAGGGUGUAGUAGUGAAAUACCAAGGACAGAAGUUGAAAGGCUUAAAUUUUCUGAUUUUUCAUCUGUCAGUCAUGCUACCGAGAAACUGCCAGAUGCGGAUAAAAAAACUUCUGCCUCUUUUUUAGCAUCAGUGAAAACAUCAUUGCCAGAGCAGAAAAACCAUUUACAUACUUCAUCUUUACCGCCGAAUUGCCACCCUGGUAUUGCAGCAAACAAUCCUGCAUGUAAUAGUCCGCG